GAUGAAGAACGUAGCGAAAUGCGAUACGUAAUGUGAAUUGCAGAAUUCAGUGAAUCAUCGAGUCUUUGAACGCACAUUGCGCCCCCUGGUAUUCCGGGGGGCAUCCCUGUCCGAGCGUCAUUGCUGCCCUCAAGCACGGCUUGUGUGUUGGGCCUCCGUCCUCCUCCCGGGGGACGGGCCCGAAAGGCAGCGGCGGCACCGCGUCCGGUCCUCGAGCGUAUGGGGCUUCGUCACCCGCUCUUGUAGGCCCGGCCGGCGCUUGCCGACACAUCAAUCUUUUUUCCAGGUUGACCUCGGAUCAGGUAGGGAUACCCGCUGAACUUAAGCAUAUCAAUAAGCGGAGGA
rnacentral:misc_RNA from 1 species